rnacentral:rRNA from 1 species
UCCACGCCCUAAACGAUGUUUACUAGUUGUCGGGUCUUAAUUGACUUGGUAACGCAGCUAACGCGUGAAGUAGACCGCCUGGGGAGUACGGUUGCAAGAUUAAAACUCAAAGGAAUUGACGGGGACCCCCCCCACCCGUGGAUGAUGCGGAUUAAUUCGAUGCAACGCGAAAAACCUUACCUACCCCUGACAUGUACAGAAUCCCGAAGAGAUUUGGGAGUUUUCGAAAGAAAGCUGUAACACAGGUUUUGCAUGGCCGUUGUCAGCUCGUGUCGUAAGAUGUUGGGUUAAGUCCCGCAACGAGCGCCACCCUUGUCAUUAGUUGCUAAGAAAGGGCCCUUUAAUGAAACUGCCCGUGACAAACCGGAGGAAGGGGGGGAGGACGUCAAGUCCUCCUGGCCCUUAUGGGUAGGGCUUCACCCGUCAUACAAUGGUACAUACAGAGGGCCGCCAACCCGCGAGGGGGAGCUAAUCCCAGAAAGUGUAUUGUAGUCCGGAUUGUAGUUUGCAACUCCCAUACAUGAAGUUGGAAUCGCUAGUAAUUGAGGAUCAGCAUGUCGCGGUGAAUACGUUCCCGGGUGUUGGUCACACCACCCGUCACACCAUGGGAGCGGGUUUUACCAGAACGUAGGUAUUCUAACCCGUACGAC